GAUGAACGCUGGCGGCGUGCCUAAUACAUGCAAGUCGAGCGAACGGACGAGAAGCUUGCUUCUCUGAUGUUAGCGGCGGACGGGUGAGUAACACGUGGAUAACCUACCUAUAAGACUGGGAUAACUUCGGGAAACCGGAGCUAAUACCGGAUAAUAUUUUGAACCGCAUGGUUCAAAAGUGAAAGACGGUAUUGCUGUCACUUAUAGAUGGAUCCGCGCCGCAUUAGCUAGUUGGUAAGGUAACGGCUUACCAAGGCAACGAUGCAUAGCCGACCCGAGAUGGUGAUCGGCCACACUGGAACUGAGACACGGUCCAGACGCCUACGGGAGGCAGCAGUAGGGAAUCUUCCGCAAUGGGCGAAAGCCUGACGGAUCAACGCCGCGUGAGUGAUGAAGGUCUUCGGAUCGUAAAACUCUGUUAAUAGGGAAGAACAAAUGUGUAAGUAACUUUGCACUUCUUGACGGUACCUAAUCAGAAAGCCACGGCUAACUACGUG
rnacentral:rRNA from 1 species